UACGUAGGGGGCAAGCGUUGUCCGGAAUCAUUGGGCGUAAAGCGCGUGUAGGCGGCCAGAAAAGUCCGCUGUGAAAACUCGAGGCUCAACUUCGAGCUGUCGGUGGAAACUUUCUGGCUAGAGUCCGGAAGAGGAGAAUGGAAUUCCUGGUGUAGCGGUGAAAUGCGCAGAUAUCAGGAAGAACACCCCGUGGCGAAGGCGGUUCUCUGGGACGGUACUGACGCUGGAGACGCGAAAGCGUGGGGAGGCGAACAG
rnacentral:rRNA from 1 species